UGUUAUUUCUGCUUGAACAGGCUCCUGGGUGUGAACACCUCAUCCCUAACUGGUGGUGCUGUUUUGGGGAGAUUCUCCAGUCUAGACAGUGGAGGCAUUUUACUACAGUCAUGGAAAGCUAACUGAUGCAUUCCUUUGCCAUCUCUUAAGGUCCUGGCUUUUUCUUACCUGGACCCCAGGCUGAGCGAUGAAAUGCUGAUCUGUAGCCUCCACUGCCAGCUCCAGACAGUUGCUCCCACCCCAGGCUUCGCAGGAGUAGACCAGUAGCUGUUCUGCCAAGUCUUCAUCAUUGCUGUAACACUCGGUGAACAACUCUGUAUCAUCAGGUAGCAUCCAGGAUACAGGGAUAAAGAGAAUGAGAACACCGGAAGGCCUGAGACAUCUAACUAAGGCUGUGUGAAUCCAGCAGCCAAGGGCUGAAGUGGAGACAGAAGCACAGAAGCUUCGACGGAAGUUUGCCACCAACUUCCAGACAAAGGUGAGGAGUGCGUCAUUGUAGGAGUUCUUGGCGAUCUGCAGAUUCCGGUACACUAGGGUGCUGAAGUGGGUGGAGAAGAGCUCUGUGAGGACUUCAUUGGUGAGAAACUUCUGCAGAUUCAGGCCAUUCUCCAGAAAGAGGCGGACAAACUUGGGUCUGUCCUUUAUGAGAGCCGUGAACAUGACCUCCUGAAGGUCGGCAGACUAAAGAGACAGAAGAGAGGAGAGCUCAUACCACAAGGCCAACGAAGAAAACACUAAGUCUCUGCAUUCCAGCCACAACAUCCUAGCAUCUUCAGCGUCUCUCUCCAUCCUGCUUUGACAAUAGAAUUCAUAUUUUCAGCAUCUAGACGGGAAAGCAGCAGAGUGGAGCCUUUGAAUGUGGGAACGCACUUUGAAUACGAAGGUACUUAUAUGGUGACAGCACGCCCACUUAAGCAUGACAUGGGUCAGGAACCAACUUUGGCAGAAAGGGCAUCAGGGAGGAGAAGCCACCAGUGGGAGUCUACAGUAGACACUGUGAACCAGCUGUCAGUGCUGCCUGUCCACACCAUGGGCUCUGCUGCCCUUCCUAGGUAAAAAUCUCACCUUCUCUACAGUGGCAGAGUUCUCAGACAGUUGCCAAAAUGAAACCCAUCAAGCCACAUACUGUCUAGCAAAGAUCUGGGGUGUCACAGCAGCAAAUCACUGGAACACUAGGUGCUGGCUACCUGUGUCAGUGUGUCCUGAGUGUCUGGUAAAAUGGUCCUACUGAGCUUU
rnacentral:lncRNA from 1 species